UACGUAGGGGGCAAGCGUUAUCCGGAGUUAUUGGGCGUAAAGAGUACGUAGGUGGCAACCUAAGCGCAGGGUUUAAGGCAAUGGCUCAACCAUUGUUCGCCCUGCGAACUGGGAUGCUUGAGUGCAGGAGAGGAAAGCGGAAUUCCUAGUGUAGCGGUGAAAUGCGUAGAUAUUAGGAGGAACACCAGUGGCGAAGGCGGCUUUCUGGACUGUAACUGACACUGAGGUACGAAAGCGUGGGGAGCAAACAGG
rnacentral:rRNA from 1 species